rnacentral:rRNA from 1 species
GAUGAACGCUGGCGGCGUGCCUAAUACAUGCAAGUCGAGCGAACAGAUAAGGAGCUUGCUCCUUUGAAGUUAGCGGCGGACGGGUGAGUAACACGUGGGUAACCUACCUAUAAGACUGGGAUAACUUCGGGAAACCGGAGCUAAUACCGGAUAACAUUUAGAACCGCAUGGUUCUAAAGUGAAAGAUGGUUUUGCUAUCACUUAUAGAUGGACCCGCGCCGUAUUAGCUAGUUGGUAAGGUAACGGCUUACCAAGGCGACGAUACGUAGCCGACCUGAAAGAGUGAUCAGCUACACUAGAACUGAAGCACGGUCCACACUCCUACGGGAGCCAGCAGUAGAGAAUUUUCCACAAUGGGCGGAAGCCGGCCAAAGCACCACCACGUGAAUGAUGAAGGGUUUCGCCUCGUAAGACUCUGUUAUUAGGGAAGACCAAAUGUGUAAGUGACUGUGCACAUCUUGACGGUACCUGAUCAAAAAGCGACGGCUAACUACGUG